GUACUUUAAGUCCUGUAUGACUUGCUGGGAAAUGACAUGCGAGGAUACAAGAAAUGUACUGGAAUAAACAAUGAAGGUCCGAUCACGCUAUCUUAUUCGAGUCUUCAUUAUUUCGUUCCAAGCUCUCUGGCUUGUAUAUAUUUGCUUCGUUCCCCUUUUCGUUCCCCAUCCUAAUCCAACCAAUGGACUCCGCCAUACCAAACUCCAACGGCGAACGCCAUGAAUUCUAUCAAAACGUCGUCGUAUUGAGGCACGGCGACCGUAUUGACAAUUUUGAUCCUGACUGGGCGACCACAGCCGCUAGGCCCUGGGACCCACCCCUAAUUGAAAAUGGUCGUGUCAGGGCAUUCUGCACCGGCGGGUGCCUAAAUUCGCGUCUCGGUUUCCCGAUCCACCGCGUCUUUGUUUCCCCCUUCCUCCGCUGCAUCCAAACCGCUUCUGAGGUUGUUUCCGCUCUAUGCGCCGUCGACGACUACCUCGACGUCAGUUGCGGCGACGGUGUAGCAAUCGAUUCCUCCAAAGUCAAGGUUUCUAUCGAGUAUGGAUUAUGUGAGAUGUUGAAUGCGCAAGCCAUUAGACAUGAUGUUGCACCCAAAGAUGGGGAUUUUGGUUUCAUUAUCUCCGAGCUUGAAGCCUUGCUACCAGCUGGGACAGUGGAUCACACAGCAAAACCAGUUCAUGAAGAGCUGCCACGGUGGGAAGAAACAGUAACAGAUACAAGAUUAAGAUAUGAACAUGUUUUUAAGGCACUUGCGGAUAAAUACCCAUCAGAAAAUUUGCUGCUUGUCACACAUGGUAAGCUUCAAUUCUGGUUACAAAUUCAUCAUUGGUUGUCACAGUUUUAAAUGAUUUCCUGGAUACUCACUUCUAUUUACACAUUGCCCUUGCACUUGAUUACCUUUCCUGCAAAAUAUUUAGUUCCCUUGAUAUGGUGAUGAAUCUUCCAAAUGUCACCUCCAGCUGCUAUAUCAUUGUGCUGGUGCCUUCUAAGAAGCCUGCAUAUUAAUCUUAAACUCUUCUUUUGAGGUUAACAACUCAACAUUUAUCUUUUUUAUCAAUUUUUAUAUAAAUUCAGGAGAAGGAGUUGGUGUUUCAGUUUCUGCAUUCCUGAAAGAUGCAACAGUGUAUGAAGUGGAGUAUUGUGCAUAUUCACAACUAAGAAGGCGGGUUUUCCAGGAAAACCAGUCAUUUAUAGCUGAAGACUUUGAGGUGCGUACUAAGAGUAAUCAAACUGGCGUCAGUUACUGCUCGUCAAUCGCUACACCCAAUGGUGCCAUGGAUGAUUCUGCAUGAAAUUUCCACACUAAAAUUGAUUUAACUGCGACAUAUUCAGCCCAUUAUUUGGGUGCUUUUGUUCCCCCUUCCCCUCCCCUCCCCUCUCUUCCUUUUGUUUGUCUGUGUGUGUUUACACAAGAAUUCUUGUAGCAAUUCAUGAUUCACAGCUAAUUGAUUGUACGAGUCAGAUAAAUACAGGUAUUGCAUCAUGGCACUUCCUCAUUUCUACAUUGAUUUUAGCAAAUGGGAAAGAAAAUUGGUGCAAGGAUCCUUCUUUGGGAUUUUGUAAUAAGUCAACAUUGUUCUGAAAGCUAUGAAUAAAGUUAAAUUGAACUUCGACGGACAAAUGAACAUGGCUAAAAAGGACUUGGCGGUUACAAUUGACUUGAC
rnacentral:misc_RNA from 1 species